rnacentral:rRNA from 1 species
CGAGCACGUAGGUGGGUUUGUAAGUCAGAUGUGAAAGCCUUCUGUUCAACGGGAGAAUUGCAUCUGAAACUGCUAAUCUUGAGUGUAGGAGGGGAGAAUGGAACUUCUGGUGGAGCGGUGAAAUGCGUAGAUAUCAGAAGGAACGCCGGCGGCGAAAGCGAUUCUCUGGCCUAUUACUGACACUCAGUGUGCGAAAGCUAGGGGAGCAAACGGGAUUAGAUACCCCGUAGCCAGCCUGAU